GGAGAAGUACCCAAGAGGUUGAAGGGUCCGCUCUCGAAAAGCGGUAGGUCGGUUAUACCGGCGCGAGGGUUCGAAUCCCUCUUUCUCCGCCA
rnacentral:tRNA from 1 species